UUACUUACCUGGACGGGGUCGAUGGGUGAUUAGUAAGGCCCAUGGCCUGGGCUGGUGGCUUUCAUUGCAUUUUGAAGGUGCACUCGCCUAAGGUCUCCUCAAGUAGGAGAGCCUACGUCGUUAUUUGUGGCAGUGGGGCCCUGCAUUCGCGCGACUCCUUC